rnacentral:rRNA from 1 species
GAUGAACGCUGGCGGCGUGCCUAAUACAUGCAAGUCGAGCGAACAGACGAGGAGCUUGCUCCUCUGACGUUAGCGGCGGACGGGUGAGUAACACGUGGAUAACCUACCUAUAAGACUGGGAUAACUUCGGGAAACCGGAGCUACUACCGGCUAAUAUAUUGAACCGCAUGGUUCAAUAGUUAAAGACGGUUUUGCUGUCACUUAUAGAUGGAUCCGCGCCGCAUUAGCUAGUUGGUAAGGUAACGGCUUACCAAGGCAACGAUGCUUAGCCGACCUGAGAGGGGGAAACGCCAAAAUGGAACUGAGAAACGGUCCAGACUCCUACGGGAGGCAGAAGUAGGGAAUAUUGCGGAAUGGGCGAAAGGCUGAAGGAGCAAAGCCGCGUGGGUGAAGAAGGUCUUCGGGUUGUAAAACUCUGUUAUUAGGGAAGAACAAAUGUGUAAGUAACUAUGCACGUCUUGACGGUACCUAAUCAGAAAGCCACGGCUAACUACGUG